AACCGCCGUAUACGGAACCGUAUGUACGGUGGUGUGGGAGGGGGAAGCCGCGAGGCUUCCUCCUACCCGAU
rnacentral:ncRNA from 1 species